rnacentral:lncRNA from 1 species
CUGGGAGGGAGUCCAAGGGAUGGUCAUCUUUAAGCGCAAGCUGACACCCCUGGAAGCUGACUAGCACCCAGGGACGGAGAAUUCCAGAACACCAGCUUCCUGGAAGGCUGAGGUUUUGUUCCCUGCUGGGUCCCAGCGACUGGAAGACUGGCUGGCACGUAACAGGCCCUCGGCAUAUAUUUGUUACAUAAAUAAUGGGACCACAGGAACACUAGGACCACAAGAGAAAAAUGAUGGGAAGUGAUGGCCAGGCAAUUCACCUCACAAAAGACCCCUCUAGGAUACCUGCUGUCCCGGUGCCCCUCCUGGCCCUCUGCUGCUCCUGUCAGCUCUACACAAACCUCCACCAUGGCCCCAGGGCUGAGGCUCAGCGUGGGCCUCGGAGCCACACAAUCUGGAUCUUCUCCCUGAGCAGAAUAAGCUUGACUUACUGGUGUGAUGGAAAACACAAUCCCUGGAGUACCAGGCAGCCACAGAAACCAUAA